GGUCCGUUGGUGAAGGGGCUUAACACAUAACCCUCUCAAGGUUACAUUCACGGGUUCGAAUCUCGUACGGAUCACCA
rnacentral:tRNA from 1 species